GAUGAACGCUGGCGGCGUGCCUAAUACAUGCAAGUCGAGCGAACAGACGAGGAGCUUGCUCCUCUGACGUUAGCGGCGGACGGGUGAGUAACACGUGGAUAACCUACCUAUAAGACUGGGAUAACUUCGGGAAACCGGAGCUAAUACCGGAUAAUAUAUUGAACCGCAUGGUUCAAUAGUGAAAGACGGUUUUGCUGUCACUUAUAGAUGGAUCCGCGCCGCAUUAUCUAGUUGGUAAGGUAACGGCUUACCACGGCGACGAUGCGUAGCCGACCUGAGGGGGUGAUCGGCCACACGGGAACUGAGACGCGGUCGAGACACCUACGGGAGGCAGCAGUAGGGAAUCUUCCGCAAUGGGCGAAAGCCUGACGGAGCGACGCCGCGUGAGUGAUGAAGGUCUUCGGAUCGUAAAACUCUGUUAUUAGGGAAGAACAAAUGUGUAAGUAACUAUGCACGUCUUGACGGUACCUAAUCAGAAAGCCACGGCUAACUACGUG
rnacentral:rRNA from 1 species